UACGUAGGUGGCAAGCGUUGUCCGGAUUUACUGGGCGUAAAGGAUGCGUAGGCGGACAUUUAAGUCAGAUGUGAAAUACCCCGAGCUUAACUUGGGUGCUGCAUUUGAAACUGGGUGUCUAGAGUGCAGGAGAGGUAAGUGGAAUUCCUAGUGUAGCGGUGAAAUGCGUAGAGAUUAGGAAGAACACCAGUGGCGAAGGCGGCUCACUGGACCGGUACUGACGCUGAGGCGCGAAAGCGUGGGGAGCAAACGGG
rnacentral:rRNA from 1 species